rnacentral:lncRNA from 1 species
GUCCUGGGCUGCGGUCACUUCCAGGCACUGGGUGUCCUGGAAUCCCGCCUAGUCGUGCCCUCAGCCAGUAUGCCUGGGCCUCACCGACCCCCUGCCCACCCGCGUUUCUCAUCUCCCGUGAGUGCGUCUGCCCUCCGUAGUAGCUGAAUAUUGUCCCCCUCAAAUUCAUAUUGCCUGGAGCUUCAAAGGUGAUCUCAUUCGGAAACAGGUCUUUGUUGAUCUCAUAAUGGUAAGGAUGGGGACGAGGCCAUCCUGGAUUUGAGGGGCCUCAAGUCCAGUGAGAGUGUCCUUGUAAGAGACAGAAAGGACAGACACCCGGAUGGGGGCGGGCAUACGAAAGCGGAGGAGGUCGCGAGUGGUCAAGAAACACCAGGGAUUCGGGGCCGCCAGACGCAGGAAGGGGCAGGGAAGGGCCCUCCCCCAGAGCCUCCAGAGGGAGUGUGGGAUUUUGUUCUUCUGCCCUCCAGGCCUCUAAGUUUUUGUCAGGCCCCGGGGUUUUGGUUUCUAGAUCAAUACGCCUCCCCACGCCACACUCCUCCAGCCCUCCCGUGAGCCACCAGCCCAGGAAGCCUGUGGUCAUGGUCAGGCCACGGAACUACGGAACAGCCUCCUGCUGCCCAGGAAGGACCCCCGGGCCAGGUCCAAGGUCCUGGAUCUGAGAUUACAGGUGCUCUGGAGUAGUGAAGGCGUCAGCAGCUGCGUCCAGGAGAAAACUUAGGAGGGGAGUGGGCACCAGCACUCUACAGGACGGAGGAGCACACCGCGGG